rnacentral:rRNA from 1 species
GCACAACGCGAAGAACCUUACCAGGCCUUGACAUGCAGAGAACUUUCCAGAGAUGGAUUGGUGCCUUCGGGAACUCUGAACACAGGUGCUGCAUGGCUGUCGUCAGCUCGUGUCGUGAGAUGUGGGUUAAGUCCCGCAACGAGCGCAACCCUUGUCCUAUUGCCAGCACUUCGGGUGGGCACUCUAGGGAGACUGCCGGUGACAAACCGGAGGAAGGUGGGGACGACGUCAAGGUCAUCAUGGCCCUUACGAGUAGGGCUACACACGUGCUACAAUGGGUCGUACAAAGGGUUGCAACCCCGCGAGGGUGAGCUAAUCCCAGAAAACGUCUCGUAGUCCGGAUUGGAGUCUGCAACUC